UCUCCAAGGGCUGUAGCUCAGAGGUAGAGCAUCUGUUUCGCAUGCAGAAGGUCCCAAGUUCAAGUUCCUGCGCGCUCCAGGAGAG